AUUGAACGCUGGCGGCAUGCCUUACACAUGCAAGUCGAACGGCAGCACGGGAGCAAUCCUGGUGGCGAGUGGCGAACGGGUGAGUAAUGUAUCGGAACGUGCCCAGUCGUGGGGGAUCACGCAGCGAAAGCUGUGCUAAUACCGCAUACGAUCUAUGGAUGAACGCGGGGGAUCGCAAGACCUCGCGCGAUUGGAGCGGCCGAUAUCAGAUUAGGUAGUUGGUGGGGUAAAGGCCCACCAAGCCGACGAUCUGUAGCUGGUCUGAGAGGACGACCAGCCACACUGGGACUGAGACACGGCCCAGACUCCUACGGGAGGCAGCAGUGGGGAAUUUUGGACAAUGGGCGCAAGCCUGAUCCAGCAAUGCCGCGUGCAGGAUGAAGGCCUUCGGGUUGUAAACUGCUUUUGUACGGAGCGAAACGGCUUCCACUAAUACUGGGGGCUAAUGACGGUACCGUAAGAAUAAGCACCGGCUAACUACGUGCCAGCCGCCGCAGUAA
rnacentral:rRNA from 1 species